rnacentral:lncRNA from 1 species
UGAGAAUAGUGAUCGGUUGUUGUUUGAGAAGGCCUCCAACUUUCAUCAUUUGUGGGUUUGAGUAACCGGCUAGUGCAUGUACCGUAACUUCGAUCAGUUAUGGCUCUUCUUUUGCAUCUUCUUCUUCAUAUUCAAGGCUCUCUUCUAGAUGUUCAAUGACUUCUUUUUCUACUAGUUCAAUCAUAAGAAGUCUCCCUUUAC